rnacentral:rRNA from 1 species
CACGUAGUUAGCCGUGGCUUUCUGAUUAGGUACCGUCAAGACGCGCACAGUUACUUACACAUUUGUUCUUCCCUAAUAACAGAGUUUUACGGUCCGAAGACCUUCAUCACUCACGCGGCGUUGCUCCGUCAGGCUUUCGCCCAUUGCGGAAGAUUCCCUACUGCUGCCUCCCGUAGGAGUCUGGACCGUGUCUCAGUUCCAGUGUGGCCAUCACCCUCUCAGGUCGCUACGUAUCGUUGCCUUGGUAAGCCAUUACCCCACCAACUAGCUAAUACGGCGCGGGUCCAUCUAUAAGUGAUAGCAAAACCAUCUUUCGCUUUAGAACCAUGCGUUCUAAAUAUUAUCCGGCAUUACGCCCCGGUUUCCCGGAGUUUA